rnacentral:rRNA from 1 species
UACAGAGGUGGCAAGCGUUGUUCGGAAUUACUGGGCGUAAAGGGUGCGUAGGCGGCCGUGUAAGUCUGGCGUGAAAGCCCCGGGCUCAGCCCGGGAAGUGCGCUCGAAACUGCGCGGCUCGAGUGCCGGAGGGGAGAGUGGAAUUCCUGGUGUAGCGGUGAAGUGCGUAGAUAUCAGGAGGAAUACCGGUGGCGAAAGCGACUCUCUGGACGGCAACUGACGCUGAGGCACGAAAGCGUGGGGAGCAAACAGG